UGCAAGUUGAACGCUUCUUUCUUAUCGAACUUCGGUUCACCAAGAAAGAAGAGUAGCGAACGGGUGAGUAACACGUGGGUAACCUGCCCAUCAGCGGGGGAUAACACUUGGAAACAGGUGCUAAUACCGCAUAAUACUUUUUCUCUCAUGAGUGAAAGUUGAAAGGCGCUUUUGCGUCACUGAUGGAUGGACCCGCGGUGCAUUAGCUAGUUGGUAGGGUAACGGCCUACCAAGGCAACGAUGCAUAGCCGACCUGAGAGGGUGAUCGGCCACAUUGGGACUGAGACACGGCCCAAACUCCUACGGGAGGCAGCAGUAGGGAAUCUUCCGCAAUGGACGAAAGUCUGACGGAGCAACGCCGCGUGAGUGAAGAAGGCCUUCGGGUCGUAAAACUCUGUUGCCGGGGAAGAACAAGUGCCGUUCGAACAGGGCGGCGCCUUGACGGUACCCGGCCAGAAAGCCACGGCUAACUAC
rnacentral:rRNA from 1 species